GUCUGCCUGGUCCUAUUUUUAAAUCAGGAAGUUCAGGGAGACAUCCUUCAAGGAAACUGCUUUGCUUUGAAAUUCAGGGGGUGAAAACCCAAACAAACCAAACAAGAAAUAUUACAUUUUUAAAGAAACCACUUAUGGAAGCUGAGAUGGCCCUGAGACCGACCGGUAGCUUGGAGAGUUUCUCAGAAGGGCCCUGUUUGGGUUUGGGGCGGGGCAUUCCUUCUGCCUGGCAUCCCCGGAGGCACACAAAGCCCUGCCCGCUAAUCCCCAGCCACGUUCCCGUCACGGUGACACCCCCGCCUUCCCAGCUCUGCCCGCCACCCUCCCUGUGCCGGCUGCUGCCUCGGAUGCUGGGUGACUCGGCCUGGUGGGUUGGCCGCCCUGCACACCUGAGGGGCAGGUGCCCGAGGCCUCGUUUUACAGAGAGGCUGGCUGAGGUGGCCAGGUCACCCAGGCAGGGCUCCUCGACGCCUCACAGCCCCCUGGGGACAAGCAGGGACAGGGGCUUUCUGUCUCACGGCCUGCAGCCCCAGCUCCCAGGAGGCCAGUGUGGGCCAGGACAGGAGGACGGCAGCCCCGCGCAGCGCCCAGACUGGGCCGGUGGCCACACUGCCUUGGGGACCGGGAAGUAUGCUCCCUCCGCCCGCCGGCUCACAGCGUCCUGUGGCUGCCUGCCAGGCCCCGCCUGACGUCAGGGUCUGACCAGGGACAUAAUGUGCUGGCAUGGGGACAAGGGCUGACUGCAGAGAGACAGAGGAUCACCCCAUGGGGCCCUGCUUCUCAGCCGGCGAUGCAGCUCCAUACCCCACUCUGCACAGGAUGCCCCACCGUAGAGAGGAGCUGGCCCCAAAUGUCCAUGCGCCAAGGGAUCGAACUCACGACUGCCUGCUUGCAAGGCAGGUGCUUAUGCCACUGAGCUAAAUCCCCAGCCCUCUCUGGACUAUAUCUUAAAACACGAAGACCAAGCCUGGAUGCGAGCUGACAUUUAUACCAGAUCAGAAUGCUUUAGGCAUACAAAUGUAGUCAUAAUAAA